GAGUUUGAUCCUGGCUCAGGACGAACGCUGGCGGCGUGCUUAACACAUGCAAGUCGAACGGAAAGGCCUCUUCGGAGGUACUCGAGUGGCGAACGGGUGAGUAACACGUGGGCAAUCUGCCCUGCACUUCGGGAUAAGCCCGGGAAACUGGGUCUAAUACCGAAUAGGACCUCGAGACGCAUGUCCCGAGGUGGAAAGCUUUUGCGGUGUGGGAUGGGCCCGCGGCCUAUCAGCUUGUUGGUGGGGUGAUGGCCUACCAAGGCGACGACGGGUAGCCGGCCUGAGAGGGUGUCCGGCCACACUGGGACUGAGAUACGGCCCAGACUCCUACGGGAGGCAGCAGUGGGGAAUAUUGCACAAUGGGCGCAAGCCUGAUGCAGCGACGCCGACGUGGGGGAUGACGGCCUUCGGGUUGUAAACCUCUUUCAGCAGGGACGAAGCGAAAGUGACGGUACCUGCAGAAGAAGCACCGGCCAACUACGUGCCAGCAGCCGCGGUAAUAC
rnacentral:rRNA from 1 species